rnacentral:pre_miRNA from 1 species
UGUCCCAAAUUUCUUAUCUUAGAUUUGUCUAGAUACGGAUGUAUCUAAUACUAAAAUGUGACUUGAUACAUCCGUAUCUAGACAAAUCUAAGACAAGAAUUUUGGGACGGAGGGAGUACUUU